rnacentral:rRNA from 1 species
GACGUAGGAGGCGAGCGUUGUCCGGAUUCAUUGGGCGUAAAGAGCACGCAGGCGGUUUGGCAAGUCGGAUGUGAAAACCCGGAGCUCAACUCCGGACCUGCAUCCGAAACUGCCCGACUAGAGGUAGGUAGGGGAGAUCGGAAUUCCUGGUGUAGCGGUGAAAUGCGCAGAUAUCAGGAGGAACACCGAUGGCGAAGGCAGGUCUCUGGGCCGAUACUGACGCUGAGGAGCGAAAGCGUGGGGAGCGAACAGG